UAAUGUGUAGCAGAAGUGUCAUAGGCAGA
rnacentral:piRNA from 1 species